AUUGAACUCGCGCUUGUGAAAUACAGUGCCGUCAAUCCCUUCUUAUCUUAUCUCCGUGUUCGCCUUUACUAGCCCAUCCUACAACUGACUGUAUUGUGCAUACCCAGUGCGUGGGCAAAUGUAGUUCAUCGAACCCGUUUCUUCACUUGUGUGGCCUAGGUCGGUGUCGUCGUAAUUCAUUGUUAGAUAAUUAGGCCCUCACAGCUGUAGCCCAACGACUUCCACUGUGAAAUUUCUAGGAGAAACACGACAAAACGGAAUGCAAAGUAAAAACAGGCUACACAGAAUUCUGAAAAAGAAAAACAAUAGUUUUGAAGGCGACAGUAUAAAAUGCCCAUUUUGAGAUAACUCGUUUUUGAAUGCUAGUUUCAAUCAAUCUCAUCGUACCCCUACAUGGAAAUUUGAGCUGAAAACUGAACAAUUUGUCCGAUUUUCAAGUCCUUUCCCCCUAGGAUUUUGACGUUCGAUGACGUGAUAACCAUGCUGAUGAUUCUCAGCCUUGAUUAUUUACAUAACAACAAUUUCCUGGAAGUGAAAUUAUACGGCGAAUUUCAUUUCGUUCCGCAGUGUUUUGUUUUUAGUCAUGUUUUAGUAGACCGUUCACUCUCAGCUUGCAACCGGUUUGAAUUGACAGCGGGGUUACAACGGUUACACGGUAUCUUACAGAAAAACUAAACACAUCUUCACGAACAGCAUCAUCUGUGGAGGAGUAACUUGUCAAAAAGUACCAAAAUACCUUGCCGUGUUUGUGUAACAAUUUAAGCCGUCGAUGGCACUUUGGCGACCACCACCAAAUCUGCAAAUGAUGGCGCAACACGGAAGCAAUAACGUCGUCAGCAGAGGCAAACAACAUUUUGAAAUUCUAGUGUCUCGUGUCCCUUUUUAAUUUUAAUCAUCUUAUUACAUUGUUUCGUCUAUUGCUAGCAAGACGAAGGAAAUCUUAUUAAUAACGUUGAAGUUCAAAUGAAGAAGCUGCUACGAGGCAAACAUCGCGCCAUGUAUAAUUAAGAAACGGUUCCGAUAUUGAUUACCUAUCGUAUCGUGUACAACCACUUUGGGGGCCUUUGGCAGUCUGCUAACCCCAAGUUAUUAACCUCGGAAUGCCGUCUAUAAUUACUAAACCUGAAACUAUCGAAUGGAGAACAAAGUUUUACAUUUUCCGAAACGUCAAACAUUCCUUGCUCUAAUCUACCUUCUACAUUGCAACGUAAUUUGACUUGUAUGUAAUUAAUGUUCGGAUAGCGACAAUGAGCAUUCUCCUUUUGGUGAAUUUUCUGAUCCAUCAUAAAAGUUCCCCGAUGGUGCUGUAAGAUACUAUACAGUGCAAAACCAUUAAUCACUAUGCAUCCGCAGAAACUGGUUUGAAAAUUCUGAUUGCUCAAAUUAUUUGGCAUUCAAUUCAUGUUAUGUUUAAUUUCCAUUUUAAAUCUGGUUGGCUAAGUUCGUUCAUUUCAAUUUUUCAGGAGAAUCAAGACAACCCCGAAGACAACAUUUAUUGAGAAUAGGUAAAAUAAUUUCUUAAAUAAUAAAAAAUUUCGAUUAUUAAAUGCCGGCGCAAAAACAUGAGACAGCGAGAGCUUAUUCAAUUGGAUUAUUUUUUCAGAUCGAUUCCGUAUAUGUAUGGAAGAGUUUAGGCUGAUACUACGAAGGCGGGAUAGAUUUCAAUGCCGCAUUUGUUGACGC
rnacentral:lncRNA from 1 species